GACAUGAGCGGUGGUGCACACCUGUAGUCCCAGCUACUCGGGAGUCUGAGCCCGCCCAGGAGUUCUGGGCUGCAGUGCGCUAUGCUGAGCGGGUGUCCACGCUAAGGCCGCCAUCAAUAUGGUUAGCCCCGGAGAGCCAGGGCACACUAGGUUGACUAAGGAGGGGUGAACCGGCCCAGGUCGGAGACAGAGAAGGUCAAAGCUACCGUGGCGAUCAGUAGCGGGAUCACGCCUGUGAAUAGCCACUGCAGCAUAGCCUGGGCAACACAGAGAGACAGGGGCUCCU
rnacentral:SRP_RNA from 1 species